rnacentral:lncRNA from 1 species
CAGAUUUAUUUCUUCUUGCCUAGAGACCAUUAUGAUAAUGCAGCAGGGCCACCAGUCAGUUUCAGAUAAUGAUGUCAACCCCGGCCACCAAGAAGUAACCUUGUCUCCACUAGACAGAGCAGGUUGCAGGAAUUUAGCCAAUUCAGAGGUCUUGUUCUCCAUAAUUUGGAAUUUUCCUUCGGAUUUGAUCAAGUUGGAUAGAGUUGGUCAAACCCAAUGGGAAAAAGAUGAAAACAACAAGAAACAGAAACAAACAGCAACAACAACAACAACAAAAACAAUGCAUUUAAUUAAAUGAAGAUGAGCUCAUGCUGGAGUAGGGUGGACUCUGAACCCAGUGGGACAAGCGUCCUUAUUAAGAAGAGGGAAAUCUGGACACACACAGAGCAGAGACCGCCGUGUGAAGAUGGAGGCAGAGAUCGGAGAGAUGCUGCCACACGCCACAAAUGCCUGGGGCUCCCAGAAACUACACGGAGCCUCCCCCAGCGGCUUCAGCAGGAGCAUGGCUCGGCCAACACUUUGAUCUUGGUCUUCCAGCCUCCAGAACGUUUUCCUAAAAUUCCCUUUUCCACUGGUGUGUGGUGCAAGAUGAGGCACAUUUUCCAUGGAUGGUGAACAGAGGGAGGAGCCUUUUGAUCACAACCAGGUCACCCCACUUCUAAGCCACUGUGCCUCCAGCCCCACAAGACUAAGGAGAGAGAGCGCAGCGUGGUGGAGAGUGAGCUGUGCUGGGACCAUUGUUUCCGUAACCUCGUUUUCUGUGUCCAGCUGACACACCUUCAAAGUGGCAUCAGGUCCUAAACUGUAGCUUGCAAUGUGCCUGUUUCCAGAAACCAAGGUGAAAGUGCUUUUAGACAGUGUUCCCAUGCAAGAGUCCCUUCCCAGCUUUUUUCUGGAAAUGCAUGUUUCUCUGAACUCUGAGUCCCAAGAAAAAUCACUUGAGACACCAAGAAAAUGGGGGAAGUGCUAAAAUUGUGUGGGAAUUCAAGCUUAACAAUAAACAUCAAGACAUUUUUGAUAAAAAUGAAUCCACUGACAUCGGGGAGGAGCAAGAGAACAGCACGCUGACACUGGGUCAGAGGCUAAGACCGACAUUUCUGGGAACCACUCCCGGAAGGGCACAGAGGAGACGCUUUCAGCCUCUCAUCAGCCAGCCUGGCCUGUAGCUGCUGCACGUUAUGAGUGUGUUCCUGGCAUGACUGCUUCUAACAACUGGGUCUCGCUUGUUGCCCAGGCUGUAGUGCACUGGUGCAAUCAUGGCUCACUGCAGCCUUGACCUCCUGGAUCAAGGUAUCCUCCCACCUCUCAGCCUCCCAAGCAGCUGGGACUAUGGGUGCAUGCCACCACACCCAGCUAAUUUUUGUAUUUAUGGAGAUAUGGGUCUCACCAUGUUACCCAGGCUGGUCUUGAACUUCUGGGCUCAAGCCUUCUGCCUGCCCUGGCCUUCCAAAGCAUUGGAAUUACAGGCCUGAGCCACUGUGCUAGGCCAGAGCCAACAGGACUUACUGAGAAAUUAUCUGAGAGAGAGGGGUCAAGGAAGACUCCCCCUGUUCAACCAAGCAACGAGGUGAAUGGUGCUGCUGCUUCCUGAGAUGGGGAAGACUGUAGAGGAAACAAACCAGGAACGACAAAUCAGUAAUUUAGCUUUGAAUACAUUAGGUUUGAGAUGGCUAGUCUGUACCCAAACAGACCACACUGUGGCAUCUGGGCAGCAGGAUCUGCAGAAUCCAGCAGGAUGGAUGCUGAUGCCAAGCUGAGUAGACAGUUGGGUCUGUGAGUCUAAAGCUCAGGGAAGACCUCAGGGUCUGGGAUACAAAUCUGGAGAUCAUCACCCUGUCCAUGAAAGCCAAGGGAAUGAUGGAAGAUACUAUGAGAAAAAGUGAAGAGAGGAAAGAGAAGAGGUCCAUGGAAGGAGACCUGGGAGAAUCCAACCUUCGAUUAGAUCAGGAAGAGGAGAAGAAUCCAGUAAAAAACUCUGAGAAGUCUCUGGGAAGGAAGUCUUCCUUCCUUCCCCUGUACCAGGAGAGGUGCUAUCCCAGAAAUUAGUAAAGAAACAGUUUUUGAUGGGGAGAACAGGAUCACCUUUGUCAACUGCUGCUGCGAGACUUGGAAAAAUAAGGACUGGGAAGAGAGCAAUAGAAACUUUGAAAGCCAUUGGUUAUCUUGAUAAGAGUUGUUUCUGUGGGGGUGGUGAGAACUGGAGCCUGACUGGAUGGGUUCAAGAGAGAAUGGGGAGUUCUAGCCAAGAAGGCUGAUGAGGAUGAGUCAAAUUAAAAAUGUUUUCUUUUUAUGAGUCCUCUCAUAUUUACUGAUACAACUGAUAUAUUGGGUCUCCAUUCUGCCACAUUACUUUAUAUUGAUCAUGUAUUGUAUCUGCUAUGCAAUUGUAUUGCAUGUAUCUGCAUGGCAAUUGUAUUGCCAUGCAAUGUAUUUUUUUUUACUUUAAAAAUUAUAUUUAUAAAGGUUUGUAA